AGGACGAACGCUGGCGGCGUGCCUAACACAUGCAAGUGGAGCGACGAACCAGGCUUCGGCCUGGGGCAGAGCCGCGAACGGGUGAGUAACACGUGAGCAACCUGCCCUUAGCUCUGGGAUAGCUCCGGGAAACCGGAAUUAAUACCGGAUAUUACACCGGCUGGCAUCGGCUGGUGUGGAAAGAUUUAUCGGCUAAGGAUGGACUCGCGGCCUAUCAGCUUGUUGGUGGGGUAGAAGCCUACCAAGGCGACGACGGGUAG
rnacentral:rRNA from 1 species